rnacentral:rRNA from 1 species
UUUGAUCCUGGCUCAGGAUUAACGCUGCGGCGUGCCUAAUACAUGCAAGUCGAACGGAAACCUUUGGGUUUUAGUGGCGAACGGGUGAGUAACACGUAAGCAACCUACCCUAAAGACGAGGAUAACCAUUGGAAACAGUGGCUAAGACCUUCCCCAAAGGGGAAAAGCUCUGGUAUCUUUUUAAAGACCUAGUUAUAGGUAUACUUUAGGACGGGCUUGCGCCAUAUUAGUUACCUUGGUAGGGUAAUGGCCUACCAAGACGAUGAUGUGUAGCUGGACUGAGAGGUUGAACAGCCACAUUGGGACUGAGACACGGCCCAAACUCCUACGGGAGGCAGCAGUAGGGAAUUUUCGGCAAUGGAGGAAACUCUGACCGAGCAACGCCGCGUGAAUGACGAAGUACUUUGGUAUGUAAAGUUCUUUUAUCAAGGAAGAAAAGCAAGUGGCGAACCAUUUGUUUGCCGGUACUUGAUGAAUAAGCCCCGGCUAAUUAUGUGCCAGCAGCCGCGGUAAGACAUAAGGGGCAAGUGUUAUCCGGAAUUAUUGGGCGUAAAGGGUGAUGGAGGAACACCAGAGGCGUAGGCGGCUCGCUGGGCUUAACUGACGUUGAGGCACGAAAGCGUGGGGAGCAAACAGGAUUAGAUACUCUGGUAGUUCACGCCGUAAACGAUGAGUAAUAAGUGUCGGGUCAAACCGGUACGGAAGUUUAACACAUUUAAGUACUCCGCCUGAGUAGUACGUACGCAAGUAUGAAACUUAAAGGAAUUGACGCUCCGCACAAGCGGUGGAUCAUGUUGUUUAAUUUGAAGAUACCCGAAAAACCUUACCAGGUCUUGACAUGUUUUUGCGAAACGGUAGUAAUAUCGUGGAGGUUAUCAGAAACACAGGUGGUGCAUGGUUGUCGUCAGCUCGUGUCGUGAGAUGUUGUUGGUUAAGUCCUAAAACGAGCGAACCCUUAUCUUAGUUGCCAGCACGUUAUGGUGGGGACUUUAACGACACUGCCAGUGAUAAACUGGAGGAAGGUGAGGAUUCACGUCAAAUCAGCAUGCCCCUUAUGACCUGGGCUACAAACGUGAUACAAUGGCUGUUACAAAGGGUAUGAAACGCAAGUUUUUGGCCAAUCCCCAAAAACAGUUUCAGUCCGGAUGAAGUCUGCAACUCGACUUCAUGAAGUUGGAAUCGCUAGUAAUCGCGAUCAGCAUUUGCGAAUUCCGUAUCUUCCUGAAACUGUCGCGGUGAAUACGUUCUCGGGGUUUGUACACACCGCCCGUCAAACCACGAAAGUUGGCAAUACCCCAAAACGGUAGUCUAACUCGUUUAUUCGAGAGGGCGCCGUCUAAGGUAGGGUCGAUGAUUGGGGUUAAGUCGUAACAAGGUAUCCCUACCGGAAGGUGGGGAUGGAUCACCUCCUUUCU